rnacentral:rRNA from 4 species
GCGACCCCAGGUCAGGCGGGGCCACCC